rnacentral:rRNA from 1 species
UACGUAGGGUGCAAGCGUUGUCCGGAAUUAUUGGGCGUAAAGAGCUCGUAGGCGGUUUGUCGCGUCGAAUGUGAAAACCCCGGGGGCUCAACCCCGGGCCUGCAUUCGAUACGGGCAGACUAGAGUUGGUAGGGGAGUCUGGAAUUCCUGGUGUAGCGGUGAAAUGCGCAGAUAUCAGGAAGAACACCCCGUGGCUAAGGCGGCUCUCUAGUACGGGUACUGAACGAGAGCGAAAAGCGUGG